GCGACUUGAUCUUCAACCUGGCGAUCGCCUAUUCUGGUACUCUGGAAAUCGGAACACGCCAACUUAACAACUGGCGACUACACGUACCUCCCGACUUCCUUCCCAUCUGCCAACCUGACGAUUGUCAACACGCCUACACUGUAGCAGGAUGCCACGUCAUCACACCCGUCCACCAGGGCGGUACAACAAACAAGAACCUCUUUUUCUUAUCCUUUCUAGUCUGUCAUCUUAUGUAUGUACAACAUCAUUUGGAGACAAGAAAAUGUGUCUCCCAAAGUCUGCAAGAUCCACCAAAGGAAGGAUGCACCAACCAUACAGAAUCAUCAUCAAAGAAACCUCAAAACACUAAGCAAUCACCAAAUCCUCUUCAUGAGGCAUCAUCAUUUCUCACCAAAUAUACAGAACAAACAAACAAUCUUCCUCUUUCCAUUCAAACCAAAAUGCAGGCCUGUUACUUCACAACAACUCAUAUUCUAUGUUGUCAAGACUUGUCAUCAAGAUUGGGGAUGCCAUCAAAACUCUAUGCCAUGUGUAUUUACCAGGCAUAUCACCACAUUCAAAACUGCACUUAUUCAUGCCCUGCCAAUGCCAUAUAUAAGAACAAAGCUUAAGUCCUAGACUGGAGUGUGAUAAUCAUGUGAAGAAGAGUGCAAAAGCAAUACAAGAAACUGCACUUAUUUCUUUUUCUAUAUCUAACAUAAUCUAACAGAUGUGUAAGGAGACAAUCAACUUUUGGAUUGUGGCACCUCCACUUCCUAAAUUAUAGAAGAGCAGUACUAUUUAAAAACAGGGUAGCAUUGUUACAGUCCAUCUAGCUAGUGUUAUAGCAUGUACAUUCAGAACAGUUCAAAAGAUCUACCCUCAAGAAUAAACAAAAUGCUAAAUUUGAUAGACCAUUGGACAAUUUUGAUGAAGAUCAUUGAACUUCAGCCCAUCUCAUUUUGACGGACAGCUUUUGCUAAUGAUGGCAUUUAAUUUAAGUAAAGAGAAAUAGUUGAGUACUGCAAAUUAAUAUAAAAAAUGCCUAAAGUACUAACUCUGCAAAAUUUUGACUCCACCAAACAUCCAUACAAUUAAGUAAUGAAAAGGUGAGAAAUAGAUCAAACAAUAGGUACAAACUGCGUAAUAGAAGUGAACAUAAUGAAGCAUUAGUAUUUGAGAAUGAGUUCAAUCUUUGUACUACCAAAUGUGGACCCACAAAGCAUUCAAUCUUUCCAAAUAUUAUUUUUCGUAGAAAUUAAGAAAUGAUGUUCACCUCACUGCAACCAAUUCCAAGU
rnacentral:lncRNA from 1 species